rnacentral:rRNA from 1 species
UACGUAGGGGGCUAGCGUUGUCCGGAUUUAUUGGGCGUAAAGAGCGCGUAGGCGGCCGAGUAAGUCCGACGUGAAAUCUGGAGGCUCAACCUCCAGCGGUCGUUGGAAACUACUCGGCUAGAGUCCGGAAGGGGAGAGUGGAAUUCCUGGUGUAGCGGUGAAAUGCGCAGAUAUCAGGAAGAACACCGAUGGCGAAAGCAGCUCUCUGGGACGGUACUGACGCUGAGGCGCGAAAGCGUGGGGAGCGAACAGG